UAGCCGUAAACGAUACUCGCUAGGUGUCGGCCACGGUGCGACCGUUGUCGGUGCCGUAGGGAAGCCGUGAAGCGAGCCACCUGGGAAGUACGGCCGCAAGGCUGAAACUUAAAGGAAUUGGCGGGGGAGGCACCACAACGCGUGGAGCCUGCGGUUUAAUUUGGAUUCAACGCCGGAAAUCUUACCGGGACCGACAGCAACAUGAAGGCCAGGCUGAAGACUUUGUCCGGAUUAGCUGAGAGGUGGUGCAUGGCGUAGUCGUGU
rnacentral:rRNA from 1 species